CUCUGAGGAACAUGAGUGCAGUGAAGAAGUUUCCCAUGAAGAUGAGGGGUUUCUGGGCAUGUCCCCUCUCCUGCAAGCCCAUCAAGCUAUGGAAAGAAUGGAAGAGUUUGUUUGUAAGGCCUGUUUAAAGAGUAUUUCAGAAUACACACAGUGACAGGCAACAUCUGGACACAUCUCUUAGAUUGUUGCCAGCAAAGGAGGUUUUGAAAUGGUCUCCAAAGAGAAGCAGUGGUCUAAAGUUGAUAGCUGCUUGGGAUAUCUGCCAGGAAAAGAAACUGGGUCUCUCUUCAGUGUCUCACU